rnacentral:rRNA from 1 species
UGGGGAAUAUUGGACAAUGGCGCAAGCUGAUCCAGCAUGCGCGUGGUGGAAGAAGCCUCGGGUUGUAAAGCACUUUCAGUGGGGAAGAAAUCCUCGGGGCUAAUACCCUCGAGGGAGGACAUCACCCACAGAAGAAGCACCGGCUAACUCCGUGCCAGCAGCCGCGGUAAUACGGAGGGUGCGAGCGUUAAUCGGAAUUACUGGGCGUAAAGCGCGCGUAGGCGGCGUGAUAAGCCGGUUGUGAAAGCCCCGGGCUCAACCUGGGAACGGCAUCCGGAACUGUCAGGCUAGAGUGCAGGAGAGGAAGGUAGAAUUCCCGGUGUAGCGGUGAAAUGCGUAGAGAUCGGGAGGAAUACCAGUGGCGAAGGCGGCCUUCUGGACUGACACUGACGCUGAGGUGCGAAAGCGUGGGUAGCAAACAGGAUUAGAUACCCUGGUAGUCCACGCCGUAAACGAUGUCGACUAGCCGUUGGGGUCCUUGAGACCUUUGUGGCGCAGUUAACGCGAUAAGUCGACCGCCUGGGGAGUACGGCCGCAAGGUUAAAACUCAAAUGAAUUGACGGGGGCCCGCACAAGCGGUGGAGCAUGUGGUUUAAUUCGAUGCAACGCGAAGAACCUUACCUACCCUUGACAUCGAGAGGACUUGGCAGAGAUGCCUUGGUGCCUUCGGGAACUCUCAGACAGGUGCUGCAUGGCCGUCGUCAGCUCGUGUUGUGAGAUGUUGGGUUAAGUCCCGUAACGAGCGCAACCCUUGUCCCUAUUUGCCAGCGAUUCGGUCGGGAACUCUAGGGAGACUGCCGGUGACAAACCGGAGGAAGGUGGGGACGACGUCAGGUCAUCAUGGCCCUUACGGGUAGGGCUACACACGUGCUACAAUGGCCGGUACAAAGGGUUGCGAAGCCGCGAGGUGGAGCCAAUCCCGAAAAGCCGGUCUCAGUCCGGAUCGGAGUCUGCAACUCGACUCCGUGAAGUCGGAAUCGCUAGUAAUCGUGAAUCAGAAUGUCACGGUGAAUACGUUCCCGGGCCU